rnacentral:rRNA from 1 species
AGUGAACGCUGGCGGCGUGCUUAACACAUGCAAGUCGAACGAGAACGGGAUAUAGCUUGCUAUAUUUGUCAGCUAAGUGGCGCACGGGUGAGUAAUGUAUAGAUAACCUGCCCUCUAGAAAGGAAUAACAGUUGGAAACGACUGCUAAUGCCCUAUAUGCCUUUAAUACAUAAGUAUGCAAGGGAAACGCUUUAGUGCUAGAGGAUGGGUCUGUAUGGUAUCAGCUUGUUGGUGAGGUAAUGGCUCACCAAGGCUAUGACGCCUAACUGGUUUGAGAGGAUGAUCGGUCACACUGGAACUGAGACACGGUCCAGACUCCUACGGGAGGCAGCAGUGGGGAAUAUUGCACAAUGGACGAAAGUCUGAUGCAGCAACGCCGCGUGGAGGAUGACACAUUUCGGUGCGUAAACUCCUUUUAUAUAGGAAGAUAAUGACGGUACUAUAUGAAUAAGCACCGGCUAACUCCGUGCCAGCCGCCGCAGUAA